ensembl:lncRNA
UCAUUCUCCUCAUAAUGUCCUGUAUUGUGAUGAUUCAGUCAGUUAUCUUAAAGACUAGCACAAAUGUAACAUUCAUGCUCAUUUAAAGUUUUUAAAAAGGAUGGAAUCCAUACCAGUGACUGUAACCAGGGAUCAUAUAGGAGUUACUUUCAAAUAUGCAACUAAAACCUUGAAACCUCCUGUUAAACAAAUCCACAUAGAAGCUCCUCCAUGGAUCUGGCAGCUACCCUAGAUAUCUGAGGUUCUAUCAGUCCAAAGACCAAACCUCAGCUGUAUGCUCUAUUAAAGUCUCAGCACCUCAAGAUUCAAUUCUUGGUCUGGUUCUGUUAUCAGCUCAGCACGUUAUUCCUGGUUUCUGCUUGGUCAGAAGUGCUACAGAGAAGCUCCUGAAACAGACUUCUGUAACAUCUGCAAAUGUUCAUGUUUUCAUCACAAUAGGAGGUUCUUAGCCAUUUUCAGGAUGUCCAUAAUUAAAAAUAAAAGGGUAGGACUUGUAAAAUGAAAGGUAAAAUCAUAGGACUGUAUAAUAGUAUAUAUUUUAUUGUCUGUUAAAAUACAAUAGCAGAACACUUUGACAGAUAUGAAGAUGUUGUGCUGUAUAAAAACGUAGUUCACUAAGCUACAAGUUUCUCCACUUGCUACAGGUUGCCCUUUUAAAACAUGAUCUGUAAACACUGACUCUACAGAAAACAGAUCUGUUGUGCCGACUUGAAAGAGCGCAAACAGGAAAUACAUUAUUCGAUGGAUAACAUAAGGCUAUGUCAGAAGAUUAAAUGCUAGAGGGUUUAUCAAUAAAAGGAUUGGGAAAUGCUGGGAAAUGUAGUUAAACCAAUUUUUAUGCUGUGUGUAGAAACACUACUGACCAUCAUUAUCUCAGACAGUCUCUCCUCAAAGGUGAUCAAAAUUUCUGCUGAUACUGGACAAAUACUGUAGAGGUCAGAGGUUUGAAUCUUUCUGCAUUUUUCUCAUCUGACCUUCUGCCUGGGAAGUGUGUUCAGAAAGAAAGCAUAAACCGUUUUAAGUGUUUACGUGAACCCCAAGGUGACUCUGGUUUGUGCUGGCAUAAUAGC